GGUUGGGCGUGUGCUUCAAGUUUCCUGGGUGGGUAACCAGGG
rnacentral:ncRNA from 2 species